rfam:Picea glauca, whole genome shotgun sequence.
CAAAAGGUUCUGUUAAGAACCACAUAUCAAUAUAGCAUAGAAAAUA